CUUUUAGAGGAAGUAAAAGUCGUAACAAGGUUUCCGUAGGUGAACCUGCGGAAGGAUCAUUAACAAUGCCCCAAAUCCGCUUGUCGGAUAUUGGUCAAAGCUGGUCUCUGAAGGAGAUAGUAAUAUUUCUUUCAGAGAUCAUUAUAACAAGUAACCUGGGGUACUUUGGAGUGGAGGCACACUUCGGUGAAUCUUUGCUUUGGAGCCCUUCUAAUAAUCCCUAUUUUUUUUACCAUUUUACCCUUGUAAACUAAUAAGACUGAUAUGACAUGAUUUAAUGUCACAAUUAAAUCUGAAAACAACUCUUAACAAUGGAUAUCUAGGUUCUG
rnacentral:misc_RNA from 1 species